GGGGUGGCUGGUGUUGGUGGAGAGAGAGAGAGAGUCGGGAGCCGCCUCAAGGACAAACUGGGAGACCUGGGCGCGCGAGGUGGGGCUCGCCGGCGAUGCGCGGCGGCUCGAACGCGAGAUGAGGGCCGCCGAGGCGGUGCUCGCUGCUGCGCCAGGGAGGGGGCCUUUGUCGGGAACGAGACGCUGUCACGUUCCAUGGACGAGCUCUAUUAGUCUACUACCGCAUCCAGCGAGAGAUGGUGCUGCUUCUAUUCUAUUUGAAGCAAUGGAUUUUCAGUCAAAUCUCUUCUUCGACCUUUCAUCGUGUACUGAAUCCUAAAGACAUGGGUCUCCAAGGCUGUAGAUUCUGUCAUGACCGUUCUGGGGAAUAAAGGUAAAUAGAAGAGGAGCCAGCUCAAAAUAUCAUGUGCAGCUUGAUAACAAGUGCCAUACCUCUGGCAGGGAAACAAAACUGCAAGCCUGUUGAGUAAACGGUGAUCCUGUGUAGAAUGCUCUCCAUCUGGAGAGCUCAUGUUGAUAUUGCAUGGCUGUGCCUAGCUAGAACUUCUGUUCCAAUUGAACAUAAGGUGGAUGGGAGGGAAAUAGACAGAUGAGAUAGUAGAGCUAUUGAUUAAUGGGAAAUCCAGUGACCUGCAUGUUCCUCCAACUCCAAUAGUUGGCAACGAAGAGUUAAGAAGACAACUCUUGCAAGAUUUGUGUAACAUGAUCAAAGAAUCAGAUAUCACUUUGAUUUGCAAAUGGUAGAGUCGUCUCUUGUUCCUCUUGCCAAAUGGUCUUCCAAGUUAUUAUCUGUAUGUAUCAUUGGGUUUCAGCAUCCCCAACAAUGGAAAUACCAAAGGAUUGGUCAUUCUUUACAGUUCAGUCUGAAGAGUUGAGCGUCUUGGAUGAGAAGGCUGCGGCAUUCAACUACUUGACUAGCAUACUUAACUUUCACAUCAUAAGCUGCCCCAGUCUGGUUUCUGUUUCACUUCAAACAUUCAGUAAACUCAUCUAUUUAGAGAGAUUGCAAACAAAUGACUGUCCCAGGUUGAUCUCACCAAGGAGAAUGCUACAUGGGUCUUAUACAAUGAUAACACACAAAGCCUACUUGCACCUUUUGCAAGAUACUUAGUAAUUAAGCUCAUGUGUGUGUGGUCUCUUUGAUCUGCCUAGGAAGAUAUCUGUUAAGACACUAAUUUGACCCAUAGAAGAACAGAUCAGACAACUGUCGUUGCUGUAUAUUUCCUUUUCUAUUACUUCAUCAAGAACUGCUUUGACGCAGUUGAACAGGUUAUAUUGAAAAUUCUGCACCUCUACAUAUUUGUGAAGAAAUUGCACAUAUCUGACUGUCCUGAAUUAGUAUUUUUCAACAGCAUGGAACACAGGAUUCCCAAACUACUGAUAUCCAUGGUGCAUGAAAAUAAAAUCUAUCAGAAGUUCCUCUUUCCACCAUUACUCAUACAGUUUGAGGCCAAUCAUUUCCUUCAGAUGCUGUGGUGUGCUACUUUCCAAGGAAAUCAUAUGUCGCUCAGGAUUGUCACUGAGGAACAACCCAAGAUUAGAAUCCCUGAACCUGCAUUAUAGUAACAAUUUGGUGCAAACGGCAGUCUUCAACUAUGUGCACUUGGCUGCAUUGGAAUUGCCAUAUCUCAACUCCCUUCAUGAACUUGCAAAGAAUCCCAAACUUUCCACUGUAACACAUGAAUUGUACUACCAGGCCCAAGGAAGUGGGGAAGAUCAAGACUGGAGGUCUCAAUCUCUAUCCCAGACUGGGUUGGCUUGAUACUGACGACAUUUCUCUCCUCAGUUUGUCCUUCUGCAAACACCUCUUUGCCCUCCCUUCUGGUUCCGGCACUUAAAACUUACUAGCUCGAGAAGACAUGACAGGAUAUGGCUAUACUAUUAGAGCAACAAGAGAGCACUUCAGUAAUUAAUUUCCCUCCAGGAGCUACAAUUGCUCUGCUGCAAUGCUGCUCUAGGUUGAGCUGUAAUUGUUACUUGCAGCAGGUCUGCAGUGCCUCCCUCAAGAAGUUGGGAGAUUGAACAUUGCCUAGCACCUCUAGGUUGCUGGAAGAGCCCGCUUGCAUCAGUGGGAGAGUUGGAGAUCAGAGGGUGCAGUCAAGAGGUAAACAAGCAAUGCAGGCUAAAACGACGAGCAAGCUUAAGGUUAUAAUUGAUUGGAAGUUGUGGUGUGAUGCCGCCUUUGACUUUGGUCAAAUGGGCUAUUGCUGAGCCUCUCUUGAAGGUUCGAUCAUUCAGUUUGUUCUCUCAGCUUCCUCCUGUGAAGUUAAACAUGCAAGCUGCUAUUAUCUUCACCACUGGCGGUCUAUAGUCACCAUCUUCAGCAAAGUCUGAGGGUUUCACAUGUGCUGCAAACACAUACACACAAAGUAUGUCUCCUUGAAAUUUAAUUUAUUUGAUCGGUGUCAUUUGUGGUAUUUUAGGGCACUUGUCAUCCUGAUGAUAACUUCAGUGCAGUUUAAACAUAUGCUUAUUAUAGGACUUUUUAUAAGCUAGAGAUAAACUGUUGGGAUGCAAUCUUGGAAGAGUGUGCUGAUGGAAUGCGGGUAAAUGUUCUGGGUGUUUCACUGCUUGGGUGCUUCGCCACUGGUGCUAAUCAGUAGUCAUUUAGGGUACGCUUCUCAAGAAAAAUUAUUAAAGCUGUGAUGGGUUAUUGCAUUUCUAUAUCUUACUGAUAUCUGCAGUCUUGAUGACAAGGUUCAAAUACUGGAACAUUAUUCAGAUGUAAAAAAGGCUUCAAAGUAAGGUGCCCGUAACGUGAAAUAUGUUUGACUUGUAACAUACCUUUCCCUCGUAUGUUAUUUGUUUUUCCGAACAGAAUGGAACAAGAAAACUACUUCUUUUCUUGUACUGGUUGUAGUUAAGCACAUGCUUUUCAAGGAUGACAACAGCAAGUGUCACAUCGACCGGUCACCCUCAGACAUGAGUGCACAACUGCGCCACCUGCAGGGCCAGAAACCGAAAUCUCUGUGCUUCGGUUUCGGUUUGAGGAAAUUUCAUAAAGGUUCAAGAAACAAACAAGCUCUCAAGAGUCAAGUCUAUGGUUUGACUAACUCUGGUUGCAUGUACCGGGCAAUCUUUCUAGACAAGAACCUGAAGUAGCUAGGCUUCCUGGUGGAUCCCAAAACUUAUACAGGUCAGUGCAGUUUGAAUUACUUUGUACUCGUUUUUAUUUGUCAAAUUUGGAUAAAGUUUGUACUUUUACCAGGAAAUCUGGAACAACUCACAAUUCAGUCAAAAUUCGCACAAAUUUGAUUAAAUUUUAUCCAUAAAAUAAAAUCACCCUCAAACCUGUUUGAAUGAGAACCAGACCAGCAAGCAGUGGAGUUUGAUAGAAUUUUUAAACCUAUAACAUUAACCUCAGAGUAUGUGUAUGUCUAAGCUCGGUUUCGGUUGCGGUUCGGGUGCUAUAACAUUAACCUCAGAGUAUGUGUAUGUCUAAGCUCGGUUUCGGUUUCGGUUCCGGUUCGGGUGCUGUCCUAAUCAUCUCCUUUGACAUGUAUAUGCUCCCUCCUCCAUAGUUGUUGUCUCCUAUAAAACCUCAUAGUUGUUGUCUGCCUCCUCCAUCCAAGCUCGAAGCAAACUCAUUCCCUCCUGCGCCAAGCAUAGUGCACGGCUGGCAGUAUACAGAAAUGGACGUCCUUGGCAAGAUCGCGCGCGCCAUCUCUGACGCCCUGCAGGACCCUGGGAAGCUACCUGGGGCGCUGAUUCUGUGUGGUGUCCUCGAAGCCGCAGCGGCGCUCUCCCUCAUCUUCUUCAGGGUGCCGGGGGGAGUGUUCCUCCACCACGGCGAGUCCUACUACGGUGUUCUAAUUGCCGUUGUGGUGUUUGGGCUCGCAGAGGCGGCUGUAGGCUUCUGGGUAUCAGCGGACCCCAGCGGGCGGCGAGCCAUUGGUAAGAUCAUCAUGGGACUUUCCAUUCCGCCUCUGAUUGUCGUUGCCAGCCUUGGAGGUUUUUCUUCUGCUGCCCCGAAGUAGCAGUUGCUUCAGACAGUGGAUCUGUCAAUGUACGUAUGUAGUACUGCAUGGAUUACUAUCUUGGUUUAGAGCACUAGUUUCCAGUGCUGGGUGUCAAUUCCGUGUAUUUCAAUCACGAGACCAGUGGUGUCAGUUGGGGCUCUCCAUAUGUUUGUUGUAAUCUUAUUUAUUUGUUUGAUUUUUGUUAUAUCAUGGCCUUUUGAGGCAAAUUAAUGUUGUUC